UCCUCUGACAUCUCACAAUACCUUUCACAAUUUUUAGUACAAUAGUACUAAAUAGUAAAAUGUUCAUUCUUCUAAAAAUCAUUCUUAAAUUGAACUGACUGAAUAAUUCUUUGUCAUUUCUUAAAUGUGCAUGGUAAUUCCGAAGAGUUCUAUUGUUCCUCUUCAAACUUUCUGAAUUAAUUCAAUAUGAGGAAAUUAUAUUUCCUUCAGUCAUUUUUAAAUUAAAUUUCUGGCUGCUUGAAGUGGAAGACGGAGGUGGAAUGGAGUGGAGGUGUGGUGAGCGAGAAAGUACAUUUAAUUCAACUAUUAAGAAGUCAUGUUUUGUGGCAAAUGGUCAACCGCAGAACUUUUAUUAAAACCAUUUAUUUAUUUAUUUAUUUAUUUAUUUGGUUGUUCAUUCAUCAGUCAUACUAUACACCAGUCACAUAUUUUGACUACAUAUUUUCAGCACCUAUUUGAGAUUAAAAAGGUAAAUAGGACAUGGUCCUUAAGCUAAAGGAAUUCACCGUCAAAAGGACUACCUCCUACCUAGAUUAAAUUGCAUGUAUUAUGCUUUUUAGGAAAUUAAUGAAAACUUUUUACUUCUUCCUAUAAUUGUUAGCAACCAGAUUUUGAAAGAAUGAAACUUAUGCAGAGCAAGGAAUCUUUCGAAAUCAAAACUGAAAGGGAUAAAUUGCAGAAUCUGGAAUGAGGUUUUUAAAAUCUAGACAGAGCUUAUUUAGAAAACAGAGACAUUUUUAUUAGCUUUGUUAACCAAUUCAUCCAAUGAAUAGAAGCAAAUGAGAAGCCUUAGGUUUUUAAUUUAGCCCUUAGUUCCAGAGAAAUUUUGAAUUACUUUUUAUUAAAAAAAGUUUUAAACAUAACCAAAAGGCAUUUAUGCUGAAAAUAUUACCAAUCCAUAUAUAAUCUAUUAUUUAAUGUCUUUAAUUUUUUUCACUUGCUCUCAUAAUUUUAUUUUUUUUUCUUCGGUUUAUUCUUUUUUAGUUAAGCUCCAAAAUAUGGCCCAUGUUUUGCAUCUCAUGGAUAUUCUCUGAAGUCUUUUUAAUGUAUAUGCUUCCUCUUCCAUUUUUUCAUCCUUGCAAAUUAUUUGCCAAAUAAAUAGGCUCAUUUGAUCUGUAGAACUGUCUUAUAUUCUGGACUUUGCUGACUGCAUCUCGUGAAGUCAUUAAUAUGUGGGGUUUUUGUGUGUUUUCUGAAAUUUUCUAACAAGAUAUAGAUGCUUGCUCAGAUUCAGCUCCCAAGUUUGUGGUAACAGUCCUCCACAGGUGGUCGUGUGUCUUCUAUUGGGAAGUAUAUAGUGUUUGUUUGUUUCUCUUUUUGUGACAUUAGGAGCAAUCAAUGAUCAUUGUCUAGUUGCGCUAUUUUAUUAGCGUUCAACAAAAUGGUGGUAUUUUAAUUAAAUCAUCACUUUUCUUUUAAUUAACUGGACUAUUUUUAUAAAGAUAAUCUCCUCAGAUUAUUAAUUUACUCUAGGUAUAACUCUCAAAAGAAAAGCAGUUAAAUACUUAUUUUUCCUUUAUUAAUCAGUCAGCAGAAGAGAGAAUUGGCUCUAAACUAUCUUCCAAAUGUGAUAAACAGCUAUUUUCACCUAAGUAUGUUUAGAAACUCAUGGACUUUGGCAUACUGGAUAUAUUUUAAUUUAUUGCAGUUUUUAUUAAAUUGAUGCUAAAUUUGGCAGCGGAAUAUCAUUUGUUUCCUUUUACAAAAUCCCAGUAGUCUCUGAUAGUUCCUUUGCUUUCUGGUAAAGCAAGAUUUUCUAGACUUUUUUGUGCAUUUCCUGUCUGAGACCUCAACCAGUUCUUUUCUGGAAAAUCUCUGAUUUCUUGUGUUGUGCAACAUGAUUAUUAAAGACCAUGGUCUGAAUACUAGUAUAAUUUUGAAACUUAGGCCAUUUACUGUGAACAUACCGACAAACAUUAAUAUUUCUGUUUCUUCUCCUACUGCUAGAAUAUGCUUCUCUGUGUGCUUUACUAUUGACUUGGGAGUCAACAGAUGGAGUAAAAGGGGUUUUACUGAAGAUGACACUUGUCACUUUCAAGAGCCAGCACUUAAGAGUGAGUGUAGAAUUUUCCUUGGGCUACUGCAGUGCAAGAAAUAGAAACUGUUCAAGAUCAUAACAGGAUGAUGAAUCUUUCAUCAACUCGAGUGAUUACAGAGCUCACAGCCACUCCAUUGAUCCACAUUCAUUAUGCUGCACACAUGAGAGUUAACCCUUUGUCUCUGAAAUCUCUGAAAAAUUUGUGUAAUAUACUACCAAAAUAUAAUUCUGACUGGUGUAACAUUUUGUUUUUAUACAAAAAUGAAUGCUAUUUCAACUUUCUGCCUUACCUUCAAUCCACAGUCUAAAACUGGUGAAUUCAGCUAAACUUCUAUAUUCACUAAUGGCAGUUCAUUCUCUUUUACAACUUUCAGGUUAUUUAUGCUUCUUCUCACAUAUAGUUUUCUAAAGUGCAAUAUAAUGACUCUAAGUACUGACCACCUUGUAAACAUACCUCUGGAUUGUUUUCAGUAAGUCCUGAUUUGAAUUGCUUUGUCCUGGUGCUAGUCUGUGAGACAUUCACUGAUUUUAAGUGCAAAUGUAUGUAUUCUGUCAUGUACCUAUUCUGCAAAAUGUAUUAUGUUGAUGAUUUGACUCAAUAAUUCCAUUUUGGACUAUGGAGAUAUGUCACAGAAUAUUUUCAAUGUAGGUCACUGUAGCAAUAAACUUACUUUGUUCUGGAAAAUAUUUUAUUGAUGCGUAAGAAUUUCAGGCUCAAGGAUAUCUACUACUCCUGCUAUAUGACUACAUGUAAUAAAACCCUCUUCUCUGUGACAGAAUCAACAUAUCAGAUAAUGCUGACACAGGCCAGGUACUUAAUGGAUAUUUAUUACAUGAAAUAAUAAUUGUGGCUGCUAUAGCUGAUCUUAUCUGAUCUCUUAGUUGAUUUCUUUUGUCAGGAAAAAAAAUUCAUAAUGUUAUUAUUUUAUAUACAUUUACUUGAAAAUUUCUGUUAGAGUCAGAAUAGGUGCAAAAAAAUUGUGCUUGAUUUACACUUUUUUUUGAAAGUAUAGUAGGAUGCUAUUGGUGUUCCACCUAGAUCUCCUUCACAGGCUAGUACGCACAUCCCCCCACUGCUAGAAGUGUUGGCUGCAUAUGCCCCAAAUUUAACCCCUUUCCCACAUGGGAAGUGCUUGGAAAAUAAAGUUAUACUCCAAUGCCACCACCAUGCAAAUGACUGCCCAUAGUAAAUGGCAUACUGAUAUGGGGUACAAAAGCCAACCCCCUUUCCUCAAGGUGGGUCAACUCUGUGGUGUGAUUUUUCUCCAGAGCACCCUGUGAAUCAGGUCAAAGUUAAACUUCACCUGAAACCUCAUCCUUGCUCAGCUCUUUCUCUUACUUAUAGUGUUUCUCUCACCCCUUUAUGUUUUUUUUUUUUUUUUUUUUCCUUUUCAUGAAGAGCACUCCAUCAAUACAACAUAUGUAUCCAAAAAUUCCUGUUUUAGGCUCUGUUUCUAGAACAUCUGAUCUAAAACAGCUGGUUCAAGGAGUGGCCUUAACAAACAGUCUCUAAGGAUAGCUCUUGGAGUUGAAUUUAUCACUGGCUACAUGACAGUGAGUACCACAUCACUGAAGGUAUAGAAGCAUGCCAUGUUUUCAUUUAAAGCAUCAGCAGAAGGCAAGAAAGAAAGAAUAAUUUGUAUUGAUUGAUUGAUUAUUUGGGUCAAUGCCACUUGACAGAUUCUGAAGAACAAGAGGAAUAUAGACAAGGUGGUAAGCAUCUCUCAAUCCAAGGAAGAUAGCAAAUGAUAUGAACUCCUCUAAGAAGAUUUUGGUACCAAAAAGAAUGUUCAAGAUUAGUUUGCUUCGCUUUCCUACUGGGGAAGAUCCAGUAAGUAAGAAUAGCAGUGUAUAUUAAAAAAUAAAAAGAGUGACUCAUUAUAAUAGUUUUCCCCAAGCCACAACAUCAAUAACUAUCUUUGCCCCUUCAGCAUGUGUUUUGAAGAUAGAGGGAUUGAAGAACUCUAGGUGGGCUCCAGACUUAAAUGAACAAAUGAUAUGCAUGUCAUCUCUAUCUGAUACUCUGCAAAACUUAUGAUUCCAUGAUCCUAUGAGCCAUAUGCUUGUACAGUCUCAUGGUGAUCACUAAAAAGGACCAACUCUUUAUUUAACACUUUGAGAGUGAAUAUUGGAAGUUUUUGUAUAUAGAAUUUUAUUUUGGGUUGCCUGAGACACAUCUCAGUGCUUCUAAUGAAGACAAGACCUUGAAUGAAUGUACCAUGAAAACGGAGGACUAUUGGGCAACAGAUGUGAAAUUGCAAGGUAUAUUAAUUUGCAUUAUGUGAUGAUCACACAAAUGUGUUUCUUGUUUAUAUUCAGUCCAUUGAGAUAUGUUUAGUUAAUUUAUUCUCUUUGUUUAAAAGGGAAAAAAGCAAAUGAAUGUGGUAAAUAGACCAUUAAAGCCAAACAUGGAAAAAUGCCUUUAAUUGUUAUCUAUUUAAUUUGGCAAUUAGAUCACAUAGUUAAUUUAAAUGUUUAAAAGAGAAGCAAUGACUAAAAGCAUGCACUAAUCUCCAAUAAAGUAGUCCCUUUAUUGUUUGUUUGCUUUUUUUCAAAAAACAAACAGGUUUGAAUUUAAUUCACUCAACCACUGAAGUAGAGAACAACAGAAAGAUAGAAGAGCACAUAACGCUAUAAUUAAUCACAAUACUUUCUAGAAUAUAUAAUUCCUAUUCCUUCAUAGCUAAUUAUACAUUAUUCAAUGAAUCCAUUUUAAAUUAUGUUUCCAGGUAAAAAUACAUAUUGCAUGGUAUGUUAAAAGUAUGUAUUUCCCAAUAUAGUAGAAUAUUUCAUAGGUUUAUAUUAGAAGUCAUCACACUAUGCUUCUGAGGGCUAGACACAUCUUUUUUGUAAAUAAAGUUUUAUUGGAACAUUGCCAUGCUCAUUUGCUUCUAUACUGUCUAUUGCUGCUUUCAUGCUACAGCAGCAUGGUUCGUUAGUUGCAAACAAGACCUUAUGGCCCACAAAGCCUAAAGUAUUUACCAUCUUUCUCUCGACAGAAAAGGUUUGUCAGUCCCUAAUCUAAUAUAUAAAAUAAGGUAAUACAGAAUAUAUUUUAUUAGCUACAUUAUAUAUUAUUGCUUUUUAUCUUAAAUUAGCAAGGCUGUAGCUGUUUUAGAAAUCUCUCUCCCUCUCCUUCUCUUCUCUGCUAAUAGGUAUAGAAGAAUGCCAUAUUUCACUUAAAGCUUCAGCAGAAGGCAAAACAGAAAAAAAUUACUUUGUACUGAUUGAUUUAUUAUUUGAGUCAAUGCCUCUUGACAGAUUCUGGAGAAGAGGAUUCUAAUAAUAGCCAAGAUUACCUGCUUUCUGGUGCUGAGACCUGUUUGCCAGUCCAAUAAAGGUAUCCAGAAGGAUUUAGAAGGGGGCUCUCUUUGGUGAUGUAGAGUCCUCAAGCUGCGUGUCACCUUGAAUCUACUCUCAGGGUAGCCUUCAAGUGAUAAUAAUACAAUUUGUUUCUAUUCUUUAAAAUGAAUUAAGAA